rnacentral:misc_RNA from 1 species
GCAGAUGUGAGGUGACUCUGGACUCAGUAUGCAGCUCUGUGAGUUCACCCGGUCUGAUGUCUACUGGGCUCCCUAGCUAUGUCUCCAGUACCUGCACGUGGCAAAAGCGACGCGCUAAACAAUUCUGCUUAGUGGUAACAAUAUAAAAUAAAAUAACUAAAAUAAAGUGAAUAUGCAGAAUGUAUAUUUACAUCUUUAGUAGACUUAAUAUCUGGUAUUUAUUGCAGUAUUAUUCAAUUA